AUUGUCUGAUUGUCGCCCGUAGGUUUGUGGUUUUAUUUUAUUUUCUAAGGUGUUAAUUAUAGCAAAUGUUGCAUGUUUUGUUCCGUCACGGAAUGGCGCUUGGAAUGUACAUUUCAAUAUUUUACAGAUUGUUUGUAUCUGGCUUUUUCACUGUAAAUGGUUAAAAAUGUAUAUGUAGACAGAAAAGUUUUACAUAUCUGAGGGCGUAAGCCAAAGAAAGACGGGAUACCGACAUUGUCUGAUUGUCGCCCGCAGAUGCGGAGAGAUGACAUAGGGGACGUAGACAUUGUUGAUACCGCAGAGGAAGGCAGUUCCGAUAAUCAUCAGGAUAAACAUGAAUCUAAAGACAACACAGCGUUCCCAGGGACUCGUGAGCAGGGAGGAUGUAGGCCAGCCUGGUGAAGCUCAUCAUGCUGGUGACUGCAAAGAGAACCUCGGCAAUCAGCUGGGGGUCCUCCUGACGCCAGUCGUUACGCACUGCCACACCAGAAGCAAAGACCUUAUUGGGGAGAGCCGCUUGAUGAUAUGCAGCCGUGCCUCCUCGGUUUCCUACCAGUCUGGGUGAAGUAGACACACUCCUCUGUGCAAUCAUCAUCCAGACAGAGGAAGUGUCCUUUAAGCAUGAUGACCAAACGCAAAGCGAAGGAGGCCAAGUACAUGCUGAGCACCAUCACGUCCAAGCAGUUCCACCAGUCCAGGAAGUAACUCCUCAAGCCCUCGAUCCACACUUCCUUGCACUCGAACCAAAAGAACCCUAGUGAGAUAGCACCCGACAUGAGUUGAUUAGAUCAACGGAGAGCAACGGCCCACCAGAGAGCAUGCACCCACCGACCACCCACACCAUGUGGAAGGAGCUGUGGAGGAUGUUCUGCUGCCUCGAAGCAAAUUUAUCCCGAUACAUCUCCAUGGUGAUGGAUUCACCGAGCAGCGUGAUGAGGAACCACAGAUAGGAGGCAGAGUGAAGGAGAAACUUGAUCACAGGGAUCCUGAGGAUCUUUCCUACCUAACACAAACAUGUAAUGCAACUUGUAUCAAUAUAUCUGUAAGGUCCUGAAAGGCACCUACAAAUAAAAUGUAUUAUUUCUAAACAAG